rnacentral:rRNA from 1 species
CUGCUGCCUUCCGUAGGAGUCUGGUCCGUGUCUCAGUACCAGUGUGGGGGACCUUCCUCUCAGAACCCCUACGCAUCGUCGCCUCGGUGGGCCGUUACCCCGCCGACUAGCUAAUGCGACGCAUGGCCGUCCUAUGCCGGAGUCGCCUCCUUUGACCCCAAGAAGACGUCUCCAAAUGGUGUUAUGCGGUAUUAGACGGAAUUUCUUCCGCUUAUCCCCCUGCAUAGGGCAGGUUCCAUACGUGUUACUCACCCGUGCGCCGGUCCG